UGAGGGAUAUUGGUCAAUGGGCGCAAGCCUGAACCAGCGACGCCGCGUGGGUGAAGAAGGUCUUCGGAUCGUAAAGCCCUUUUCCCACUGAAGAGGAAGGACGGUAGGUGGGGAAGAAGUCUCGGCUAACUACGUGCCAGCAGCCGCGGUAAAACGUAGGAGACAAGCGUUAUCCGGAGUUACUGGGCGUAAGGGGCGUGCAGGUGGCGUCUUAAGUCUGUUGUGAAAGCGCCUGGCUUAACCGGGCGAGGCCAAUGGAGACUGAGAGGCUGGAGGACGGCGGAGGGGUGUGGAAUUCCGGGUGUAGUGGUGAAAUGCGUAGAGAUCCGGAGGAACACCAGAGGCGAAGGCGGCACUCUAAGCCGUACCUGACACUGAGACGCGACAGCACGGGGAGCAAACG
rnacentral:rRNA from 1 species